rnacentral:tRNA from 1 species
UAACANAUUGAAUUGCAAAUUCGAAGAAGCAGCUUCAAUUCUGCCGGGGCUU